UUUCUCUUGGGGGACAUCAUAAUGAUUUGAUUUACUGGCGGUCAUUUGAUCAACAGCGUACGCUCCACUCCCUAAACACACACACUCCUCCUCGAGAAACUAUCAGCGGCAGACGCACGCGAGAAGGUGCAGGCUGCCGGACAUCUCGGGGCUGGAAUCACAUUUAUUCUCAUUAGACUGCGAUAGUGUCAGCUGGAGGCAGGGGAGGCACGAGCCAGGGUCAUAAAAACUACCUCACUACCUCUUCCCGCCAUUACCUCAUACAGAUCACAUCACACCCAGUCAGCCAUUCUCCAGUCAACGCCGAAGCUGCACAUUGGUGUAUGUUUUCAAUGUGCAUCUUUUUUUUUUUUUUUUUUUUUUUUGCCGGUCACUUUUACCUGCUACUUGUCAAACUACCAAACAGGGAAGGAAAUGGCCUGUCGUCAGCCUUCAAACAUAAAGCAACUUGUAACAGGUUUUGAGGUUGGCGACAGCGGAGGUCAAUAGAGAUGGCUCCACGAGAUGAACUGGCUCGCUCCCCCGAGACAUGCGUUCUCGGUGAGGCCCAGUGAUAGAUGAAGUGUGUGAGGGAUCGGUUCGGGCCCGUGUUCAAUCAAACUUCAUGGCUUACAUUACAGUGGAUGAGGCAUGGGCACUUCAUGGGACCUGUUUUAUGUUCUGUAGGUCCUGGAGCAUGGCAUUGUUUGCACUGAAGAGCAGCUAUAACUGUGAAGUCUGUGAAGACGUGACUCAUCUCCAAUCUGCAGUCCAAGUCAGAAGUGAAUGCUAUAAUGUCAAGUCUCAAAGACUCUUACAUGUGCCAAGUCAGAUUCACAAAAUCUCUGCUUAACGUCCUCUCUAGAGAAAAUGUUUUCCUUUAGUAACAUAUUGAUGUAUACUACCAUACUCUGGGAGUGUUAAAAGCUCUUGGUGCAUGAAGAAGUUCUGUGAAGCUGCAAAGACUCAAAUCCAAAGAGAUAUUCUUUAUAAAAGUUAAGACUCUGCCACGCCCCCCUUAUUUCGACUCCCUCAAACACGCUCCCACAUGCCUACAUCACUAUGUGGAAAUAUUUGCGUAAUGCCACCCAAAUGUUCAAGCAAAGAAAGGCGGCGUGGUUUCAGCAACCACAGUUAUUGUUGAAGCACCCAUGUCAGGGAGAUGCUGUGUUUCUAGGUGAAAGCAAAAGCACUUUAUUUGGCCUUCUGAAAGAAAUGCAUUUAGGAAUCUUUGAUUACUUACAACAAAACAGCAACACAUUUUAUGGACGACUGUUUUAUGAACCAAGGAGAGGAGGUAAUUUUGACUUUGCUACAACAAUCUGGCGCUUCUGAAUCAGCUACUGUAAGUAUGAUUUGUUUUUAAAAGCGGGGUUUUGUGUGUCGUCUGUGUGUGCUUGCGAAUGUGUGUGUGAGAGAGAGAGAGAGAGAGAGACGGUCACACAGUGGAGUCAGCUGUCUUAACCGUCCAUGGCUUGUGUCCUGUGAACUUCAUCACUGUGUCUGUCACUCCACUCUGUUCCCCAUUCGGCCUUGUACUGAUGGUAAAACUAAGGAAAUUAUUAACUAUCGUUACUUUUUUUUUCAUGAUUAUGGAAAGGGGUUUUACAUUUCCGACGAGUGUUUGCAGGGUUCGGCCAAUCACAAUGCACUGUGUCAGUUGGCCAAUCAGAGCAGACUACUCUUGUCGGAAGGAGGGACUUUGUAGAAAACGAUGCAUUUGAGAGAGGCCGGGCAUAGAGGACCUACAAUAAUGAACAGUAUUUGAAAAAAGAAUGUGUUUUUUGAACAUUGAGGCGUCAGCAUUUUCUGUUACACCAAAUAUACAAAAUAAUUAUAUUUAAAAAAGCAUCAUAUGACCCCUUUAAAUUAAAAUCUAAAACUAGACUUAAUCUGAUAUGUUGUUAUUAACCAGAAAAGUCUCAAAACUGAUGAUAUGAGAAAGAUAGUAUUUUAUAUUUUCAGUGUAGUUUCAUUUGGAGUCACACAGUAAUUAACGGACGUGGCAGUCGAUAAAGAAAAAUCAGAAAGAACUUAACUAAAACAAAGUUGAUUCAUCGUUCAGUCAUCCUGGCCUGAUCUUAAUCAGACAAAAAGACUCAUUCUCAUUACGAUCACAGCUUGAUGUGCUCACUAUGACUGCUUCAGAUACUUUUAGAUGGCCAGAACAUUUUAGAAAUGCCAAUGAACGGAAUGGCUUGGGUAGGCUGGUAUUUAGUGUAGGUGUCGUGGAGUAGUGGUAUUAGAUCUGGGCUGGUUGUAUGUUUGAACUCUGCGAUCCGUGAGCUGUUAUCAUUGUGCCCAUGAGCGGGGCGGCAGGGUUUGCUCCUGUAAUAAGUGUACUGUGUGUAAAGUGUAUGCGAAAUGACUACUGAGUAGACAACUGCACAGUUUAUGUCCUUAUUUGUACACUUUGUAUUUAAGCAAAGGUUUUACAUUUUAAGUGUCCACUUCAAAUGAACAUGGAUUUAUUGCUGUGACGCCUGAAAAGCAACUAAGCCUUACUGGAAAUGCGACGUGGUGACCAUGUGGUUCAGAUUGGCUCAAAUACCUCACAGAUGAUUAGUCUAAAAUACUAGACAUUCUUUGUCAAAUUGUUCUGAUGAUUUCCUGGCUGCACAGUGCGAUGCGCGCCACAAACAUGAGGCCACAGUGUUACAAAUGCAUUAGCACACCCCCUCGCCAAGGGCCCCAAUCAGCAUUCCUUCCUAAAAACACUCCAUUCUUCUGCCCAGAGAAGAGGGGUAUAGGGAAUCCCUUGCCAUGACUCAUCGAGUUUCUCCGACUGUAAGGGGAGUUCACUGAAUGGAACGAACAUGACUUGUUCAUUUGUGGAUUAAGGGAUGUGGGGUAAGUCAUAAAGCAGAAGAAUUUUUAAACACUGACUGCUGCUUCCUACAACAAACUUGUUUUUGUUGCUUUGUUGGCAGAAUAGAAGUAUGUCUAGUAUGAUAUGUAAAAUAAAACUUUAUAGCAAUAUAACUGUUUAAGGACUAUGACUGUAUAGUAUAAAAUCCAUACUCUAUCACAUAUAUAACAAAACAUUUUACCUAUACAGUACAUAAUACUAGGUCUAUUAUAUAAAUAAAAAUGGUCUAUAUGAUGUAUGAUGCGAGUUUAAAGAAAAACUAUAAUUAAAAAAUAUAUAUAUAUAUAUAAUGAAAUAAAAAAAAAAUUUCAAAGAUAUUUUUGUAUAUAAAUAAAAAUGGAAUCUUUAUAGUAUGUAUUUUAUCAUUUAUAAUUUUAUAUAUCUACUACUGUACAAAAGUUAGUUCUCUAAUGCUCAUCAAGCCUGCAUUUAUUUGAUCAAAAAUACAGUAAAACUUAAUAUCGUUUAAAUACUAUUCAAAUAUAUAUAUUUUAUAAAAAUAUAUUAUAAAAUGUCAUUUAUUCCUGUGAUGCAAAGCUGAAUUUUCAGCAUCAUUACUCUAGUCUUCAGUGUCACAUGGUCCUUCAGAAAUCAAUCUAUACUGAUUUGGUCCUAAAGAAAUAUUUAUUAUUAUUAUCAAUGUUGAACACAGUUGUAUUGCUUAAUAUUUUUAUGUAAAUUGUGGUUCUUUCUUUCUUUCUUUUUUUCUUUCUUUGACGAAAAAGAAAAUUCUUGACAUCAUGGAAAAUCGUUUGUAACAUUAUACACUUCUUUAACCUUUUAAUCUCUUUACUGAAUAAAAGUAUUACAUUCUUUAAACAAA